rnacentral:rRNA from 1 species
UACGAAGGGUGCAAGCGUUACUCGGAAUUACUGGGCGUAAAGCGUGCGUAGGUGGUUUGUUAAGUCUGUUGUGAAAGCCCCGGGCUCAACCUGGGAAUGGCAAUGGAUACUGGCAGGCUAGAGUGCGGGUAGAGGGUAGUGGAAUUCCCGGUGUAGCGGUGAAAUGCGCAGAUAAUCAGGAGGAACACCGGUGGCGAAGGCGGCGAUCUGGGUCGAUACUGACGCUGAGGUGCGAAAGCGUGGGGAGCAAACAGG